UCUCCUGGAAACGGGUGGUAAUGCCGGAUGUUCCACAUGAGCGCAUGCGAGUGUGGGAAAGGCUUUUUGCGGCAUGGGAUGGGGUCGCGUCCUAUCAGCUUGUUGGUGGGGUAACGGCCUACCAAGGCGUUGACGGGUAGCCGGCCUGAGAGGGCGACCGGCCACAUUGGGACUGAGAUACGGCCCAGACUCCUACGGGAGGCAGCAGUGGGGAAUAUUGCACAAUGGGCGCAAGCCUGAUGCAGCGACGCCGCGUGCGGGAUGGAGGCCUUCGGGUUGUAAACCGCUUUUGUUCAAGGGCAAGGCACGGUUUCGGCCGUGUUGAGUGGAUUGUUCGAAUAAGCACCGGCUAACUACGUGCCAGCAGCCGCGGUAAUACGUAGGGUGCAAGCGUUAUCCGGAUUUAUUGGGCGUAAAGGGCUCGUAGCGGUUCGUCGCGUCCGGUGUGAAAGUCCAUCGCUUAACGGUGGAUCCGCGCCGGGUACGGCGGGUUGAAUGCGGUAGGGAAAAUGGAAUUCCGGGGAACGGGGGAUGGGUAAAUCGGGAAAAAACC
rnacentral:rRNA from 1 species